GGCGUGUGUGUGUGUGUGUGUGUGUGCAUAUGUGUUUGACUGAAUAUUCCCAAUAUUAUUUAUGAUCUACAUCUUCAUGUUCACUGGGCAUUGCAGCUGUAUUUGAGGGGCAACUCUUCAGUCUUGUGUUAACAUGUUGACUCAGAACCGACCAACCUUUCACUGUGAAGGAGAGCUGGAGGAAGGAGGGAUGGAAGGGGACACAGCUGAGAGAAAGUGAGAGUAAAAGACCUUUUCACUGAUUCUGAGGGAAUGGAAGCCAUGUUUCAAAGAGCCAUCAUUGCAAAGAUUGAGCACAACAAAAACUCUGAUUUGUAAGUGGUUUACUGUCACGCCCUCUCACUGUGCUACAGAUGAUAAAAUUAUUCACCGGGACGCGCUCAUCUCAUACUUCCACAAAGACAGAGAGACAAACGGAUCAAGAGACAGAGGACAGCACAAAACUGUCAGAAUAAAAGAAUGUGUGUAUUGAAAUAUUGUAUAAAAUCAUUCUAUUUAUCAAUAAACUUUUCAAGAAACAAC